rnacentral:rRNA from 1 species
GCGUCAGUAGGUUGGUCGUGCCACCGGUACGUACUGGUCUCACUGAUUCCUCCUUCCUGAAGAACCGUAAUGCCAUUAAUUUGGUGUUGCGGGGAAACAGGACUGUUACUUUGAAAAAAUUAGAGUGUUUAAAGCAAGCUAACGCUUGAAUACAUUAGCAUGGAAUAAUGAAAUAGGACGAUCGAUCCUAUUUUGCUGGUUUCUAGGAUUGACGUA